rnacentral:rRNA from 1 species
AUUCCAGCUCCAAUAGCGUAUAUUAAUGUUGCUGCAGUUAAAAAGCUCGUAGUUGGAUUUCUGACUUGGCGCACCUGGCCCGCCACGGUUACGUGUGUGAGUGCCGGGAUGCGCCUGUCACUUUUCUAGUAAACUAUUGUGCUCUUCAUUGAGUGUGAUAGGUAGCUAGAUAAUUUACUUUGAAAAAAUUAGAGUGUUUAAAGCAGGCGUUUGCUAUGAAUACAUUAGCAUGGAAUAAUAACUUAGGACUUCGGUUCUAUUUUGUUGGUUUCUAGGACUGAAGUAAUGAUUGAUAGGGAUAGUUGGGGGUGCUAGUAUUCAGCGGCCAGAGGUGAAAUUCUCGGAUUCGCUGAAGACUAACUUAUGCGAAAGCAUUCACCAAGGAUGUCUUCUUUAAUCAAGAACGAAAGUUGGGGGAUCGAAGACGAUCAGAUACCGUCGUAGUCUCAACCAUAAACUAUGCCGACUAGGGAUGAGUGAACGUUGCAUAAUCGACUUCAUUCGCACCUUAUGAGAAAUCAAAGUCCUUGGGUUCCGGGGGGAGUAUGGUCGCAAGGCUGAAACUUAAAGGAAUUGACGGAAGGGCACCAUCAGGAGUGGAGCCUGCGGCUUAAUUUGACACAACACGGGGAAACUUACCAGGUCCAGACUCAGUGAGGAUUGACAGAUUGAAGAUCUUUCUUGAUUUUGAGGGUGGUGGUGCAUGGCCGUUCUUAGUUGGUGGAGCGAUUUGUCUGGUUUAUUCCGUUAACGAACGAGACCACGACCUGCUAAAUAGUUCAAGUUAGGGUUCGCUCUAGCUGUUGUGACUUCUUAGAGGGACUAUCGGUGUGUAGCCGAUGGAAGUUCGUGGCAAUAACAGGUCUGUGAUGCCCUUCGAUGUUCUGGGCCGCACGCGCGCUACACUGAUGCAUUCAUCGAGCUACAACCUUGUCUGAGAGGACUGGGUAAUCUUUGAAAAUGCAUCGUGCUGGGGAUAGAUUAUUGUAAUUAUUAAUCUUCAACGAGGAAUUCCUAGUAAACGCGUGUCAUCAACACGCAUUGAUUACGUCCCUGCCCUUUGUACACACCGCCCGUCGCUACUACCGAUUGAAUGAAUUAGUGAGCUCCAGAGAUCGAGCUGUUUCGGGCAACCGGGGCAGUUUGAGAACUGGAUCAAACUUGCUCAUUUAGAGGAAGUAAAAGUCGUA